UACGGAGGGUGCAAGCGUUAUCCGGAUUCACUGGGUUUAAAGGGUGCGUAGGUGGGCAGGUAAGUCAGUGGUGAAAUCUCCGGGCUUAACCCGGAAACUGCCAUUGAUACUAUCUGUCUUGAAUACCGUGGAGGUGAGCGGAAUAUGUCAUGUAGCGGUGAAAUGCUUAGAUAUGACAUAGAACACCAAUUGCGAAGGCAGCUCACUACGCGAAUAUUGACGCUGAGGCACGAAAGCGUGGGGAUCAAACAGG
rnacentral:rRNA from 1 species